CGCAGUACAUCCAGCCCCGGAACCAGCUUUUCCUGAACCGUUUGUCAUCAUGCCCGACCGAUUUGAUGGUAGCCGCACAUCCUUUCAGUCUUUCAAGAUGGAUUGUGAGGUGUUGUUUUCCUUAAAGCCUCGAACUUAUGCCACAGAAUUCAUCAGGGUCAGAGCGGCUAUCAACCUGUUGUCUGGACGCAUCAAAGUUUGGGCUCACCAAAUGUUGCAGACGAAGAGUCCUGUCCUGGUCAGCUGGGAAUCCUUUAGUACUGCUAUGGACUCACAAUGUAAGACCACUGUGGCCAAGUCAGCUCCGCGUACUAAAAAAUCUCAGACUCUUCCUAACCUAGAAACCGAGUACCACCACUACGUCCCAGAAAUGCCUCCUUAUGUUCCAGCUCCCAGGAAAACUCCAGAGGUAUCCGGUGUUCCACUUGACCCUGUGGAACCUAUGCAAUUAGGACUCGUCCACUGCAAGGUGACACCUAAGGAAAAAGGCCGAAGGAGAAGCUAUGGCCUAUGUUAUUACUGUGGAGAAAAAGGGCACUUCAUCACGCUUUGUCCUGUUCGCCCUCCUAGACCUCCAGCUCUCCGACUUGGUACUAGUUUCCUUCGCCCUGUGUACACCACAUACCAGCCUAAAAAGCCAAAUAGAAGCCGUUGUGCUUGCACAUGCUUGGCUUCCGCGAGAAAACCUC